GGUUAAGCGACUAAGCGUACACGGUGGAUGCCCUGGCAGUCAGAGGCGAUGAAGGACGUGCUAAUCUGCGAAAAGCGUCGGUAAGGUGAUAUGAACCGUUAUAACCGGCGAUGUCCGAAUGGGGAAACCCAGUGCAAUUCGUUGCACUAUCGUUAACUGAAUACAUAGGUUAACGAGGCGAACCGGGGGAACUGAAACAUCUAAGUACCCCGAGGAAAAGAAAUCAACCGAGAUUCCCCCAGUAGCGGCGAGCGAACGGGGAGCAGCCCAGAGUCUGAAUCAGCUUGUGUGUUAGUGGAACGGUCUGGAAAGUCCGACGGUACAGGGUGAUAGUCCCGUACACCAAAAUGCACAGGUUGUGAACUCGAAGAGUAGGGCGGGACACGUGGUAUCCUGUCUGAAUAUGGGGGGACCAUCCUCCAAGGCUAAAUACUCCUGACUGACCGAUAGUGAACCAGUACCGUGAGGGAAAGGCGAAAAGAACCCCGGCGAGGGGAGUGAAAAAGAACCUGAAACCGUGUACGUACAAGCAGUGGGAGCACCUUCGGGUGUGACUGCGUACCUUUUGUAUAAUGGGUCAGCGACUUAUAUUCUGUAGCAAGGUUAACCGUAUAGGGGAGCCGCAGGGAAACCGAGUCUUAACUGGGCGUUAAGUUGCAGGGUAUAGACCCGAAACCCGGUGAUCUAGCCAUGGGCAGGUUGAAGGUUGGGUAACACUAACUGGAGGACCGAACCGACUAAUGUUGAAAAAUUAGCGGAUGACUUGUGGCUGGGGGUGAAAGGCCAAUCAAACCGGGAGAUAGCUGGUUCUCCCCGAAAGCUAUUUAGGUAGCGCCUCGUGAA
rnacentral:rRNA from 2 species